UGCAGGAUGAAGGCCUUCGGGUUGUAAACUGCUUUUGUACGGAACGAAAAAGCUCCUUCUAAUACAGGGGGCCCAUGACGGUACCGUAAGAAUAAGCACCGGCUAACUACGUGCCAGCAGCCGCGGUAAUACGUAGGGUGCGAGCGUUAAUCGGAAUUACUGGGCGUAAAGCGUGCGCAGGCGGUUAUGUAAGACAGAUGUGAAAUCCCCGGGCUCAACCUGGGAACUGCAUUUGUGACUGCAUGGCUAGAGUACGGUAGAGGGGGAUGGAAUUCCGCGUGUAGCAGUGAAAUGCGUAGAGAUGUGGAGGAACACCGAUGGCGAAGGCAGCCCCCUGGGUCAAGAUUGACGCUCAUGCACGAAAGCGUGGGGAGCAAACAGGAUUAGAUACCCUGGUAGUCCACGCCCUAAACGA
rnacentral:rRNA from 1 species